UUAUUAUUAUUAUUAUUCAUUACCAAAUGCAAUGCAGAAACUAUUGUCAACCAAAAUGACAUAAUUAUGAAGACCUUGGCUGAGCAGAAAGUGUUGACGGAAAGGGUUCUUCACCAAGAGGUAACCAACAAUAAUGUACGUGCAGUUUUCCUCAAAAAAAGUGUCAACGACUUACACGACUUCAACACUAUUAUUAGUGAGGACAAUCGUGACCUCUGCGUAAGUCUUAAAAAUUGUGUUCCACGAAUUUAAUAUCUUGCUAAAAUGCAUUACUAUACUAAAAGUUUUUAUAACUUACUUAACAGGUUAACAGGAUGAAGGCUUUGUUAAAAGGACGCCUGGCGAAAACAUUGACAGAUGUUAUUUCCCAAAGUGUGUGCAUAGAAGUCAAUUUGGGUGGAGUCCACGGCAAGAAGCUAUUGAAAGAUUUCAAAACUUUUUACCAAACUUUAAUGGAUGCUUGUCGUUCGCUUAGUUUUGAAGACAACGAAAAGGAGAUAAGGAAUGCCUUAAAAAUCAUUAAAAAAUGGCAUUUCCAUGCAGAAUGUAUUAAAAAUAAGAAGAAUGAAAGAGAAAAUAAAUACUUUAGUUUUCGGUCUUUUUUUAA